rnacentral:sRNA from 1 species
GCCAGGUGCAGUGGCGCACACUUGCAAUCCCAGCAACCUGGGAGGCUGAGGCAGGAGGAUCGCAAGUUCAAGGCCAGCUUCAGCAACCCUGUCUCCA